ensembl:lncRNA USP3-AS1 USP3 antisense RNA 1
GCAGUGCGCGCAGGCGUGGGCAGCAGCGCAGCAGGCGCGCCAGGCAGUCGUCGGUAACGUGGCCGCAGCCCGAGAGCGUGACGGACGCCAGGUUGGGGCACCUGUGAGGAGAGUGCGGUGACCCGGGGCUCACUGGCUUGUUAAAGCUACCCAACCGCCCCAUGGGACCGAGUGGACUCAUUUACCGAGGAGGACUCGGGCCCUGCGAGGGAAAAAACAAAGAGCGGACUGUCCCCCUGCCCAGCCAUCCUCAGCCAUUCCUCCCGACCUGAGCUGAGUGCCAGAAGAACCAGAUUCAGUAGACGUUCAUCAGUACCUACUAUGUGCCAGGUCACUUCAUCCUGGCCCAGGUACUGCAGCUCCAAAUCGUGGGGAUUCUGUAAGAGCUUGCUACCUGUUGACUGAGGAGGCCCACGAGUUGAGCAAAAAGAAUGAUUCCUCAGCAGUCAUUGUGAAAUUUUGUGGGCCACAAGUAUUGUGCACACAUGAUCCUUGAUUUAGAGUCAACCUGAUGUCCAUUAUAGCUGUGGAAAGGCAGCAGGCAGUUGUGUCGCUCUUCACAAUAAGGAACA